GAUUAACGCUGGCGGCGUGCAUAACACAUGCAAGUCGAACGAAGUGGCGGACGGGUGAGUAACGCGUGAGUAACCUUCCUUAGACAAGGGGAUAGCCUUUGUAAACGAAGAAUCAUACCCUAUGCUCUAAGCGGGACUUGCGUCUGCUUGGUUAGUUGGUGGGGUAACGGCCCACCAAGACAGCGAUCAGUAGCCGGGUUGAGUGAGGGGACGGCCACAUUGGGACUGAGACACGGCCCAGACUGUACGGGAGGCAGCAGUGGGGAAUUUGGCACAAUGGGGGAAACCCUGAGGCAGCGACGCGGCGUGAUGUAGAAGGCCUUCGGGUUGUAAAAAUCUUUUCUAUGGGAAGCAGGACCAUAGGAAUAAGGACCGGCUAAUUACGUGCCAGCAGCCGCGGUAAUAC
rnacentral:rRNA from 1 species